rnacentral:rRNA from 1 species
ACUCAAAUGAAUAGACGGGGACCCACACAAGCGGUGGAGCGUGGGGUUUAAUUCGAUGAUAAGCGAAGAACCUCACCCAGGCUUGACAUCUUAGGAAUUUCGCAGAAAUGCGUUAGUGCCGCAAGGAACCUAAAGACAGGCGAUGCACGGUCGUCGUCAGCUCGUGCCUUGAGGUGUACUGUUAAGUCAGCCAACGAGCGCAACCCUCAUCCUAUGUUGAUUUUUCAUGGGAGACUGCCGCCUCCAAGGCGGAGGAAGGUGGGGAUGACGUCAGAUCAGCGUGUCCUUUAUGCCUGGGGCAACACCCGCGCUACAAUGGUCGGUACAGAGGGCAGCCAACCCGCGAGGGGGAGCUAAUCCCAAAAAGCCGGCCUCAGUUCGGAUUGAAGUCUGCAACUCGACUUCAUGAAGUUGGAAUCGCUAGUAACCGUGAAUCAGCUACGUCACGGUGAAUAAGUUCCUGGGUCUUGUACACACCGCCCGU